rnacentral:rRNA from 1 species
GACGAACGCUGGCGGCGUGCUUAACACAUGCAAGUCGAACGGAAAGGCCCUGCUUUUGUGGGGUGCUCGAGUGGCGAACGGGUGAGUAACACGUGAGUAACCUGCCCUUGACUUUGGGAUAACUUCAGGAAACUGGGGCUAAUACCGGAUAGGAGCUCCUGCUGCAUGGUGGGGGUUGGAAAGUUUCGGCGGUUGGGGAUGGACUCGCGGCUUAUCAGCUUGUUGGUGGGGUAGUGGCUUACCAAGGCUUUGACGGGUAGCCGGCCUGAGAGGGUGACCGGCCACAUUGGGACUGGGAUACGGCCCAGACUCCUACGGGGGGCAGCAGUGGGGAAUAUUGCACAAUGGGCGGAAGCCUGAUGCAGCAACGCCGCGUGCGGGAUGACGGCCUUCGGGUUGUAAACCGCUUUCGCCUGUGACGAAGCGUGAGUGACGGUAAUGGGGAAAGAAGCACCGGCUAACUACGU